CUGUCGUCCCUAAAAAAUGAAUACAGCCGCCGCCUUCUCAUGGCCUACUCGAUCGCCCCGGACUUUCUGCAAUCUCCGCCGCCAUCCCUAAUGUCAUCGUCACGUGGCCGCCCAGUCUUCCCUUCCAGAUCAAAGAUCGAUCUGAACCCAACUGCCUCACACUGUACCUUGCUUCUUUCACUCUCGCUGCCCCAUGGGGAUUUCUCAAGAUCACAGGCCUCGCCUUCCCAGUCAGCCUGGUGGAACAAGGAUGUCUGAAGGUGUGAAAAUCUUCAAAGAAUUUUAUUCUGUAUAAAGAGAUGCACACUCUAAGAAAGUGCAAUACGGGUAUCAUCUAUAGUUAUUUACAAGCAGCCUUUUAUUUUUCUUAUGUAUUUCAGUUUCUCUUUGUCUAUUACGUCCAUUGCCACAGGUGCCUCUCAAACAAUUUCAUCUACAGUAUUUCUUUAUAUACACACCACGCCUCUUUUUUCCCACAGGAGUCAUGGCUAUGAAAAGUUCUCAAAGAAAUCAGAGCAGGUUUGUGAACUUCUUAUAUUUUGGUUAAGGCAUCUUCAGUUGUUGAGCAAAUUAUUUUCUAGAGCAAAUUCCAUAUGUCAGGCAACAAAAUGUGAAGGUUAUAAAGGCUUAACUUUAUUUGUUAUCAUGCUCCGGUUAUGAGGUUAUCAUGUAGAUUCUGUAUGAACUGCUUGACAGAAAGUAAUAUAUAUGUUUGUAAAAAGUAUAUUAUUAUUCUAGCUGCUCUUGCAUUAAUGAUUAGUUUUUCUCUUGCCUGUUUUGCAGAACAGGUCCUUAUCUUAAUAAAAGUUUGGAUCUAUGUAAAGCCCAGCAUAUGUUUGUAGUAGAAAUCUAUCGAUUAUGUAGUAUGUAGUUUCUUUUAUAUACAGGAGCUUCUCGGUACUGCACGAGGAAACAUCUACAAUCGGAACCCAUCUUCUACAGCGAAGAAAGGUCAACAUGAUUGAGGCCUCGAGGGAGAGGCCAGAAAAGAUCUAUGGAAGUUACCUUAAAUCUGAAAGUGCAAAGAUUUGGUUCUUUCAGUAGUUGCUACAACAUGUAAGGAUAUGAUGAUUGGGGAACGAUCUGACGGAUUUCUGGCCAAUAUAAGCAAUGCCUUCAUGUUCCAUGACAAGCUGCAGAUGCAUGAUUUAUUAAUUCUAUUGGAACCCAACUUCUACAAUGAAGAAAGUGGCAACAAGGUUGAGGGAGGCGCCAGUAAAGAUCCGAUGAAAGUUACCUUAAAUCUGAAAGUACGAAGAUUUGGUUCUUUCAGUAAUUACUACCACAUGUACGGUUAUAAUAGUUGGGGAACAAGCUGAGGGAUUUCUAGCAAAUAGUAGCAUCGCCUUCAUGCUCCAAGACAAGCUCCAGGUUUGUCCACCAAACAAGAACCCAUUAAUCAACUACAGUGGUUGUUCAAAUAGUUAACUAAUUGCAGACUACGAUUUGUUGUACAUAAGACGUGCUCAAUUUCUUCUUGUUCUCGCAUUAGGUGGCACCAAGAUUGGAUGUAGAAAACUGAUUUGUUUUUCGCUUAAACAUGCUUUGUUUGGUGAUUUUUUAUUCAAUGGCAAUGCUUGGUAGUCGCAAUUUACUAAUUGCAGGUGCAUGAUUCAUCGUAGAAAAGCAAAUUAAUUUCCACGUACACAAGCCCAGUUACUUGGUGUAUGAGUAGCUGAUAAAAUAGUGCCCAAACUUAGAAUCUUAGUCCCAUAGUAUAUAUGCACGUCAUGUCUAGGUAUUGGAAAUGUUUUAGAUGUUUAGUGGAGCUUCAUACAAUGAGUUGUUGCAGUUUCGGUUUCAACAAGAUAUUUUUCUUCUAUAGAUGCCGUACAUUAGUACUUGAAAUUUGUUAAUUGCAUACGCAUGAUUCAAUGUAGAAAAGCAAACUGAUUUCCACAUACACAUGCCCAGUUACUUGGUGUGUAUAGUUGAUCAAACAUAGUGAUAAAUCAUGCGGUGUCCUAGCUUAGAAUCUUACUCCCAUAGUAUAUAUGUAUGUUCUGUCCAGGUAUUCAAAAUAUUUGAAAUGUUUAAGGGAUCUUGAUAGAAUGAGUUGGUGCAGUUUCAGUUUCAAGCAGAGAACAAAUUAAAGAACAGGGUAAUCAGUUUGGAUUUAGGUAAGCGGACAGUGUAAGCAUUAUUUUCAUCUACAUAUAUGCUUGUGGACUAACUCACUUCUGUUAAGUUACGGUGAACUUACCUUAAUUCUGUCGCCUAGCAUGAUCUGAGUAGUGCAGCUCUUUAUCUUUAGAUGAUUCUAUUUCAGAUCAAAAUUUGCUCCGCUUUAUUGCUACAAAUAGUACUUUGAAACAAUGUAUAGUUUUUCAGUACUGCCACAGAAUGAGAAACAACUCAAAUGCAUAGACUGACCAAAAUCUCUUAUUUAUUGGCAAUAUCAAGGAUUUAGACGAUGGAUUUGUGCCAGUGUUGCCAGUAUAGUACACCCCAAUUUUCUAUUGCCUUUAAUGCAGCUGCUAGCUAAUUUCUAGACAAUGUUGAAAACUUUAUAUUUGUACAGACAAUUUUUUAAGGAGCGCAUUGGAUAUGGGUUCUUCCAUGUCUUUAGAACCAUAUAUAUACCUCACCUCUCAAAGAAACAUCAAAAAACCUAGACGUCCAUAACUCUGAGAGUACAAGAUGCUUUUUGGGCGGAAUAAUAGUACAUGAUACUGUACUAAUUGUGGUCUUUUAACCCAGUUUUUUUUCUUACACCCAAACAAGUGUUGGGUCUGUCUAUGAAUCACAUGAGUGAAAUUAGAUUCUACGUCAUGUAUGACACUUGUGAUAAGCCUGACAUAUUAGUUUGUCCAAAUUUACAGAUCAUUAGCACUGUGUGAUGAUUAAAAAUUUCUGAAGCUAUGCUUCAAAUAGAAUUUGUCAACAUUAUGGGCCUAUGAUUUUACUAUGUAGUACACCUGAUAGUGCUGACAAACGCUCACAUUUAUAUCCUGGUGAGGUGACAAAACUUCUACAGGAGAUUGAUUACCGUGUAGAGAAUUCACUUGACUGAUAUUGGUGAGGUGACUUAAUUAUUUGUAUGUGCAUAUGACAGCCACAACUUAACUAAAAUUGAUGAUUUGUUAUCACAUUUAAUUCUAAGCACGUUGAUGCUAAACUGAGUGUCCCAUUCUUCUUAUAUAUUUUAGCAAUCUAUACAUGCCAAAUGUAAAAAUUCAUUCUACUGCAUAUUGUAAAACUCACUUCUUUAAGGUACACCCCUCAAAUAUUCCAAGUCCGGCGAUGGCCGUUUUUCUGAAAUAGUUUGUUUACCCAUGUUAUGCCAACAACGAUGUAGUUUGAGUAUUGCUAGCUUAUUCGAUUAUUCCAAGAAUAUCCUUUGCACUCCCUCUUACGAGUCUACUCAUUCAUAUAGAAUGGUUUCCACUAAGAUAUGUUACUGUAAACUUAUUCCUAUGUAUUAUAUGUAGAUCCAAUGGUAAAGAGGAAACACUACCUAUUGACCCAUCUUGAACUAUUGGAUUAAAAUAUGCCAUUCCAAAUUAUGCAUAUACCGACAUAAUGGUAUUUCAAUAGCUUGGGUAAGAUUUUUAGCAUUCUCAUUUUAUAAACUGUGGUUAGGUGUCCUCAAGAGAAAUUUGAGUAUCCUAUGCAUGCAGUAAUCUUUUGCUCUUUAUCCGUAAUCCUAUCUACAGUUAAAGCAUUAGUAGUAUUCACUUGCAAAAAAAUUAGUAUUAAAUGAAAGUCAAAGUGCUUUAUAUGUCAAGUAAUACUUAAGAAAAUCUCAAAUCAUUUUUUACGGGAUAAUCUCAAAUCAUUCUUGUAUAUGCAAAAAUCAUUUUUAUAGUUAUUCAUCAAAUAUAUAUAAUAUGAUUAAAAUAAUAUAAUAUUAACACUUUUCUAAUAUCAUGUUCCAUCAGUGUACCAGUUUGACACAUAUUUGUACUUUAUAAAAAUGCACGAUUUAUAUCGUUAAUCAUCCUUUAAAUGAGGAGAUGGGAGCUCGGAAGUUCCCUAGGAAAAAUAAAGGUAUAGGGUUAAAGGACACUUUAAUUAAAUUUGAAUUAUUAGAUUUGUGUAACAAAUGCUAAAUUUUCAUUAAUGUUCAUUAUCUAGGAUCCGUCAAAUUUUAAAGAAUAUUUUAAUGAAGAGGAACAUUAUACUGGAUUGUAAAAAUCAAGAACACCAACAUCAUCUAAGUAGUUGCUUUAAAAAAAAUGCUCGACAAAUAAAAGAGGUUGCCCGCAUUAUAUUGAUAAAAAUCUAAAAAGUCUAGCCCGCACAUCGGGCGGGCCACUCUGCUAGUUAUUAUAACAGCAACAACCUUAAACAUAAAACUUUUAUC